CGCGCCCCUCUUCUUCCUCUUUCCUUCAUUUCUCAAAUUCCCUAACUUCAUCGAUUUUUUCUUUUGUUUCUCUCUCUCUCUCUCUCUAAAUUUCAUUUUCUUCCUUCUCCAUAUAGAUAAGGAAAGAAUGUCGUCGGCCGGAGCAGUAGGUGGCGGAGGCGCUGCCGGAAAUCAACCACAGAAUUACCAUUGUUACCAAUGUGAACAGACAGUUACCAUUACGACAUCACCAAAUUCUGAGCUCUCAUGCCCUAAUUGCAACGGUACGUUUCUAGAGGAAUCGGAAACCGCACCACCUUCCAACCCAAAUCCUGAUAGUCAUCCAUUUUUCUCCACCGCCACUAACGAUGACCUACCUUUCGGCGGUGGCUUUCCGAUUGUUUUCUCUUCAAACGCUGCUUCCCCUGCCGAUGGUUCUGUCGGUUUUAAUGAUCUUUCCGCUCUAUUUGGUGGUAUGGCGGGUGGUUCCACUGCCUUACCCGGUCGAUCCCCCAAUCAAUUUGAUCCUUUCGCUUUCCUAAACAACUAUUUCAGUACUAUGAGAGGUGGGAAUAUUCAAUUAAUCUUCGAGAACCAUCCCGGAGGAGAAGGAGGCGGAGCUGGUGGUGAUUUUAGGAUUCCGGGGAAUCUUGGAGACUAUUUUCUUGGGCCUGGGCUUGAGCAAUUGAUCCAGCAGCUUGCGGAAAAUGAUCCAAAUCGUCAUGGUACACCUCCGGCUGCAAAGUCGGCUGUUGCUGCGCUUCCAGAUAUUAAGAUCAAUGAGGAGUUGUUGGAUUCUGAUUCAUCUCAAUGUGCAGUUUGUAAAGAUACUUUUGAAGUCGGCAUGGAGGCGAAGCAGAUACCUUGCAAACAUAUAUACCAUAAGGAUUGUAUAAUGCCAUGGCUGGAGUUGCACAAUUCUUGCCCAGUGUGUCGCUAUGAGCUGCCUACUGAUGAUCCUGAUUAUGAGAAUAGGAAAACAUCACAGCAGCAUACUGCCAAUACUAGUAAUAAUAAUACCAACAACAACAACACUGGUGGGAUGUUUGGGGGUUCAGAAGGUGGGGAAAAUCAGGAGAAUUCUCAGAUACCUAGUACAGGGGAGAGGAGGCUUAGGAUACCAUUGCAAUGGCUUUUCAGGGGACUUGGAUCACCUGCUGAGACGAGCAACAGCGGAGGAGCAAGUAAUGGUGCUAACAAUCGCAACAACAACAAUACGAGCAACAAUGCUCCUCGUGGGGAGUCUAAUCCGGAUUCUGGAGGGCAACCGAGGCAGGAGGAUCUCGAUUAAAGUAUGGAGUAGAGUUCUGAGGAGCUCCCUACUUUGCUCCCUUGGAUGUCGUGGUGACUUAAUUCUCAGCAAAAACAGGAUUAAAGAGAUGAGAGGUCCCUUCUCUAAAGACAGGAGUGCGGAGAGGGGAGGUUGGGGGAAAUGCAAUUGUCUUUGCGAUUCAGCAAUGUGGAAGUGUUGUAUUUCCCGGUUUGAGGAGAGCCGUGGUAUCUCAAGUUGUAAAAGAACAUAAUACACCGAGAAGUAGAGAUCAAUGAUAUAAUACUUGUGCCAGUUAUAUAAUGAUUAUUGAUAGAACUUAUCACUCAAAAUUUCCAACCUAAACAUCCUUCAUAGUUCUUUUGAAAAAAAGGUUCAUAUUAUUGUAUAUUUUUCAAAGUUCAAUUUUGCAGUUCUCUCCUUUACAA